GCAAUUCCGUUUGCGCAAACCUCAAGCGCGCAGCAGCGCCGCCUCCGAGCUAGCCAGACGCAAAUGUCCCCCCGCGAAGUGGGCGACAGGGAUUUUUUUGGGUGCCGCUGGCCGGGGGGUGGAGAGAGGGGGUGGUGGUUUGUUUAGCCUUGUUUUGAUUUCCUAACAUCUCCCUCCCCCCUCUUUUUUCGUGUAUAAUCCCUUUCUGGACACACACCCUUUGGAAAAGAAGAAAAGCCACAGACAAAUAAAAUUAGCUCCUAGGUGCUCGUGGUCGAGGGAAACGCUGCAAGAGAGCGUCGGGAGAGGUCCCUUUGCGGGAAGGAAGACUCGCUUGGGUGGGGGUGAUUCUCAGUGCAGACCCCUCAAAAGACAGUGCCUUGAUGGGAGCAUGGAAGGUAACCGAUUAGGUGACUGCAGAGAGACACUAUGAGGCCGAUGUCAAGGUCUGGGACAGGAAUAGCAGACCACAGACUCUGGGACUGCCACAGAGAACCACGGGCAGCCGUCUAUCAGCUCCAUCUGGUACGCAGGCUGAGACCCUACCUGCCUGCGGACUGCCUCGCUAGAGUGGUGCAUGCUCUGGUUAUCUCACGCUUGGAUUACUGCAAUGAGCUCUACGUGGGGCUAUCUUUGAAGGUGACCAGGAAACUACAACUAAUCCAGAAUGCGGCGGCUAGACUGGUGACUGGGAGCGGCCGCCGAGACCACAUAACACCGGUCUUGAAAGACCUACAUUGGCUCCCAGUACGUUUCCGAGCACAAUUCAAAGUGUUGGUGUUGACCCUUAAAGCCCUAAACGGCCUCAGUCCAGUAUACCUGAAGAAGUGUCUCCACCCCCAUUGUUCUGCCGGGACACUGAGGUCCAGCGCCGAGGGCCUUUUGGCGGUUCCCUCACUGCGAGAAGCAAAGCUACAGGGAACCAGGCAGAGGGCCUUCUCGGUAGUGGCACCCGCCCUGUGGAACACCCUUCCAUGAGAGGUCUCAGGACAACUAGAGCACCCCAUGCUGGCUUAAAGGGAAAAAAGCAGUGUGCCGCACUUAUCUCAAGGUCUGCUUCCUCUCAGAUACACCUACUGGUUUGAGUUGAUGCUUCAGGGAAGUUGCUACUCCAUCUUCCGCAGCCUCACCUGAGAUAGAAUUGGCGAGAACAUGGAAGAGGGUCUUCUCUAGGCUUUGGAACCUCUGCGUCUGUUUCGGGAUUUGGUUGGCCGCUCCCUCCAUUAUGGAUGGACGGAACUGCCAAUAGAAGAAGAAGAGGAGUUUGGAUUUGAUAUCCCGCUUUAUCACUACCUGAAGGAGUCUCAAAGCGGCCAACAUUCUCCUUUCCCUUCCUCCCCCACAACAAACACUCUGUGAGGUGAGUGGGGCUGAGAGACUUCAGAGAAGUGUGACUAGCCCAAGGUCACCCAGCAGCUGCAUGUGGAGGAGCGGAGACACGAACCCCGGUUCACCAGAUUACGAGUCCACCGCUCUUAACCACUACACCACGCUGGCUCUCUCCAAUGUAGGUUUCUCAUUUUUCGUUCUCCACAAUUUCACAGUCAUGGGCAUAUGAUUCUUUAAAUAAAUAAACUCAUGAA